rnacentral:rRNA from 1 species
ACGGAAGGCAGCAGUGGGGAAUAUUGGGCAAUGGACGAAAGUCUGACCCAGCGACGCCGCGUGAGGGAAGAAGGUCUUCGGAUUGUAAACCUUAGUUAUCGGGGAAGAAGAAAGUGACGGUACCCGAAGAGAAAGCCACGGCUAACUACGUGCCAGCAGCCGCGGUAAUACGUAGGUGGCGAGCGUUGUCCGGAUUUACUGGGUGUAAAGGGCGUGUAGGCGGGACUGCAAGUCAGAUGUGAAAACUAUGGGCUUAACUCAUAGCCUGCAUUUGAAACUGUGGUUCUUGAGUGUCGGAGAGGUAAAUGGAAUUCCCGGUGUAGCGGUGAAAUGCGUAGAGAUCGGGAGGAACACCGGUGGCGAAGGCGAUUUACUGGACGACAACUGACGCUGAGACACGAAAGCGUGGGGAGCAAACAGGAUUAGAUACCCUGGUA